AUUGAACGCUGGCGGCAGGCCUAACACAUGCAAGUCGAACGAGAGGCGGAAGGGUGAGUAAUGUAUGGGAAACUGCCCGAUGGAGGGGGAUAACUACUGGAAACGGUAGCUAAUACCGCAUACCAUCGGAUGUGCCCAGAUGGGAUUAGCUUGUAGGUGGGGGAACGGCUCACCUAGGCGACGAUCCCUAGCCGGUCUGAGCGGAUGACCAGCCACACUGGAACUGAGACACUGUCCAGACUCCUCCGGGAGGCAGCAGUUGGGAAUAUUGCACAAUGGGCGCAAGCCUGAUGCAGCCAUGCCGCUUGUGUGAAGAAGGUCUUCGGAUUGUAAAGCCCUUUAAGUUGGGAGGCGUUACCAACAGAGUAAGCACCGGCUAACUUCGUGCCAGCAGCCGCGGUAAUAC
rnacentral:rRNA from 1 species